rnacentral:ncRNA from 1 species
UCUUAUCAAGAGAGGUGGAGGGACUGGCCCUAUGAAGCCCGGCAACCGGUAUUUUUAAAAUACAACGGUGCCAAUUCCAACAGCGUAAGCUGGAAGAUGAGA